GUCUUUUUGUAUUUAUUUAAGGUUUAACCUGCCCAAUGAUUUAUUUAAAUGGCCGCAGUAUAUUGACUGUGCAAAGGUAGCAUAAUCAUUAGUUUUUUAAUUAGAAGCUAGAAUGAAGGGUUGGACGAGAUAAAAUCUGUCUUUAUUUAAUUUUUAUUAGAAUUUAAUUUUUAAGUUAAAAAGCUUAAAUUUGAUUAAAAGACGAGAAGACCCUAUAGAUCUUUAUAAUUUAAUUAAUUAAAAUUAAUUUAGUUAUUUUAAAUUUUUUAUUUAAUAAAUUAUUUUAUUGGGGUAAUAGAAAGAUUAAAUUAAUUCUUUUUUAUUUAAACAUUUAUUUAUGAUUAAAUGAUCCAAUUUUAUUGAUUACAAGAUUAAGAUACCUUAGGGAUAACAGCGUAAUUUUUUUUGAGAGUUCAUAUCGAUAAAAAAGUUUGCGACCUCGAUGUUGGAUUAAAAAUUAUUUUAGGUGUAGAAGCUUAAAAAAUUGGUCUGUUCGACCAUUAAAUUUUU
rnacentral:rRNA from 1 species